CGGGUGGCAGACUAUCUGGGUAUG
rnacentral:miRNA from 9 species